rnacentral:misc_RNA from 1 species
GGCGAAACGUAGUAACUUCUUGCGGGAACGCUCGAUCCUUAUACCAAGGAGAACGAGGAACACGUAGCAGACUGGCUGCCCGUGCAACAUUGAUGAGACAUUACGACCGAUGUCGGUGGGCCGGGAUAUAUGAUUGCAGACACACCAAAUUUUUGCGCUACAUGCCCUCAACUAACGUUUUACACACUCGAGCUAGCAGGAAAACGCGGAAGAAGAACGUUGAAGAAGCGGCAGGCCGUUGCCUCGACAGGGCAAGGUGCAU